rnacentral:sRNA from 1 species
CUGCCUCAAUAUCUGACUCUUCUAUCUAAAUCCCUUCCGAGAUGACACCAUAUUACCUUAUAUAGCUCUGUCCUCGUGGGGUCCUGGGGACCUCCCCUGGAUAGGCAGUGGGACCUGGUCUUAAUAUUGGACUUUUCAAUAUCAGCUUUUGGGCUGGGGCUUCUUGGGAUCUUAUUCUCUAUUAAAUAUAUGUAGAAGUAAUUGGAUUGGCUGGUUAUUAGAUUUUGAAGAUGGAAUAAUAUAUAUUUAAUGAGAAUAACAUUGAGAUGGCAGAUAUGAGGGUCUGAACCAGGGGUUGAGGUGAGCGGUAGCUUACAAAUCAUCUAGGGCCC